AAGAAAGAUAGAGGCGCAGAAAACAUAAGUAUGAUCAUUUAGUCUGGCAGACAUUGAGAUGAUCAAAAAGGGAAUUCUGCCGAAAUGAAAGAAAAGGCCAAAAUUCUUUUGUUGGUAGUAUAAAAAAUAUUUAUACUACUGUCAUUGAUUAUUUCAGUGGAGUGCUAUCUGUGAU
rfam:Fusobacterium varium ATCC 27725 genomic scaffold supercont2.7, whole genome shotgun sequence.